UCUCCGUAGGUGAACCUGCGGAGGGAUCAUUACUGAGUGAGGGCUCCGGCCCGACCUCCAACCCCAUGUGAACCGAAACCUGUUGCUUCGGGGGCGACCCUGCCUUUCGGCGCGGCGCCCCCGGUGGCCAAUUAUUAAACUCUGCAUCUCUUGCGUCGGAGUCUUAAAGAAAUUUAAACAAAACUUUCAACAACGGAUCUCUUGGUUCUGGCAUCGAUGAAGAACGCAGC
rnacentral:misc_RNA from 1 species